rnacentral:rRNA from 1 species
UACGGGGGAUGCGAGCGUUGUCCGGAUUCACUGGGCGUAAAGGGCGCGUAGGCGGAUAGUUUAGUCAGAGGUGAAAGCCCAGGGCUCAACCUUGGAAUUGCCUUUGAUACUGGCUAUCUUGAGUACGGGAGAGGUGUGUGGAACUCCGAGUGUAGAGGUGAAAUUCGUAGAUAUUCGGAAGAACACCAGUGGCGAAGGCGACACACUGGCCCGUUACUGACGCUGAGGCGCGAAAGCGUGGGGAGCAAACAGG